AUGAAGGAGAGGAAAAAGGGAAAAGAUGCUACAGUUUUCCUUGCAGCUCAAUUUUCACACCCUUCCCAGGAGAAUAGAGAAAAUUUUAGGGGUUCCUCUACUGCUACACAUCCACCUCCACAACCACCACCUCAACACCAAACUUCACAGAUGCCAGCAUCAUCUGCUCCACCUCCUAAAGCAAUGAGGAACAGAAAAACAGCAGCAAAUAAGAGAGGUUCAACAUCAACAGUUUCAGCAGGAGCAGCCAGGUCUUCACCAGCACCUGCAACAGGAUCUGCAUCAACAAGAGCUCCAAGAACAAGAGAAUCAGCAUCUACAAGAACAUUCAAUGCACCAAGAACAUCCACUGGAGAACCAGGGAUAUUGGCAGGCAAGAGGAAGAGGAAACCUCCUAGCAAGUUUGCAUCCUAUUUCAAUGCUAGUGGAAACUAUUGA
rnacentral:rRNA from 1 species